UACGUAGGGGGCAAGCGUUGUCCGGAUUUACUGGGCGUAAAGCGCGCGUAGGUGGUUCGUUAAGUUGGAUGUGAAAUCCCCGGGCUCAACCUGGGAACUGCAUUCAAAACUGUCGAGCUAGAGUAUGGUAGAGGGUGGUGGAAUUCCUAGUGUAGAGGUGAAAUUCGUAGAUAUUAGGAAGAACACCGGUGGCGAAGGCGGCCCACUGGUCCGGUACUGACGCUGAGGUGCGAAAGCGUGGGGAGCAAACAGG
rnacentral:rRNA from 1 species